GAUGAAUUUGGUGCUUGCACCAGAUGAAACUAGAUACAAGCGAGCGGCGGACGGGUGAGUAACACGUGGGUAACCUGCCCAAGAGACUGGGAUAACACCUGGAAACAGAUGCUAAUACCGGAUAACAACACUAGACGCAUGUCUAGAGUUUAAAAGAUGGUUCUGCUAUCACUCUUGGAUGGACCUGCGGUGCAUUAGCUAGUUGGUAAGGUAACGGCUUACCAAGGCAAUGAUGCAUAGCCGAGUUGAGAGACUGAUCGGCCACAUUGGGACUGAGACACGGCCCAAACUCCUACGGGAGGCAGCAGUAGGGAAUCUUCCACAAUGGACGCAAGUCUGAUGGAGCAACGCCGCGUGAGUGAAGAAGGGUUUCGGCUCGUAAAGCUCUGUUGGUAGUGAAGAAAGAUAGAGGUAGUAACUGGCCUUUAUUUGACGGUAAUUACUUAGAAAGUCACGGCUAACUACGUGCCAGCAGCCGCGGUAAUACGUAGGUGGCAAGCGUUGUCCGGAUUUAUUGGGCGUAAAGCGAGUGCAGGCGGUUCAAUAAGUCUGAUGUGAAAGCCUUCGGCUCAACCGGAGAAUUGCAUCAGAAACUGUUGAACUUGAGUGCAGAAGAGGAGAGUGGACUCCAUGUGUAGCGGUGGAAUGCGUAGAUAUAUGGAAGAACACCAGUGGCGAAGG
rnacentral:rRNA from 1 species